rnacentral:lncRNA from 1 species
GGGGGAAUUCAGUCAGCACGGUGGGAAUCCGGCUAUUGGAGAAGUCUGGGGAGAUACUGUCUGCAGUCGAAAGCUGGAGGAGUCUUGGGAGGGUCAAUCCUGUUAAGAACUUCGGCUGAGGGUAUUUUAUACCCAACACCAGUCCCCUUACUUUCGAGUUCGAAUUUCGAAUGAAGAAAGUACAGAAAGAUUGUCACAGCUGAAGUUGCUCCCUCGAUGUCCGUGCACGAUCGUCCUCAAAUAUUUUGGCAUUUAAUGCGCGUGCGCCAGAGUCUUUUCAAAUUGAGGCGAUCCGAAGAGGCUCUUUUGGAACC